rnacentral:rRNA from 1 species
GACGAACGCUGGCGGCGUGCUUAACACAUGCAAGUCGAACGGAAAGGCCCUGCUUGCAGGGUACUCGAGUGGCGAACGGGUGAGUAACACGUGGGUGAUCUGCCCUGCACUUCGGGAUAAGCCUGGGAAACUGGGUCUAAUACCGGAUAGGAGCCAUUUUUAGUGUGAUGGUUGGAAAGUUUUUUCGGUGUAGGAUGAGCUCGCGGCCUAUCAGCUUGUUGGUGGGGUAAUGGCCUACCAAGGCGGCGACGGGUAGCCGGCCUGAGAGGGUGGACGGCCACAUUGGGACUGAGAUACGGCCCAGACUCCUACGGGUGGCAGCAGUGGGGAAUAUUGCACAAUGGGCGCAAGCCUGAUGCAGCGACUCCGCGUGGGGGAUGACGGCCUUCGGGUUGUAAACUCCUUUCGCUAGGGACGAAGCUUUUUGUGACGGUACCUAGAUAAGAAGCACCGGCUAACUACGUG